rnacentral:rRNA from 1 species
AUUGAACGCUGGCGGCAUGCCUUACACAUGCAAGUCGAACGGCAGCAUGAUCUAGCUUGCUAGAUUGAUGGCGAGUGGCGAACGGGUGAGUAAUACAUCGGAACGUGCCCUGUAGUGGGGGAUAACUAGUCGAAAGAUUAGCUAAUACCGCAUACGACCUGAGGGUGAAAGUGGGGGACCGCAAGGCCGCAUGCUAUAGGAGCGGCCGAUGUCUGAUUAGCUAGUUGGGGGGGUAAAGGCCCACCAAGGCGACGAUCAGUAGCUGGUCUGAGAGGACGAUCAGCCACACUGGGACUGAGACACGGCCCAGACUCCUACGGGAGGCAGCAGUGGGGAAUUUUGGACAAUGGGCGAAAGCCUGAUCCAGCAAUGCCGCGUGUGUGAAGAAGGCCUUCGGGUUGUAAAGCACUUUUGUCCGGAAAGAAAUGGCUCUGGUUAAUACCUGGGGUCGAUGACGGUACCGGAAGAAUAAGGACCGGCUAACUACGUGCCAGCCGCCGCGGUAAUAC